GCGAAAGUGGCGGAACUGGUAGACGCGCUGGGUUCAGGACCCAGUGGGGGCAACUCCGUGGGGGUUCGACUCCCCCCUUUCGCACCA
rnacentral:tRNA from 1 species